rnacentral:rRNA from 1 species
UACGUAGGGUGCAAGCGUUGCCCGGAUUUAUUGGGCGUAAAGGGCGCGUAGGCGGCUCUGCACGUUCGUUGUGAAAUCGCCCGGCUCAACUGGGCGGGGUCAGCGGAUACGGCAGAGCUUGAGCAAGCUAGGGGGCAAUGGAAUUCCCGGUGUAGCGGUGAAAUGCGCAGAUAUCGGGAAGAACACCCGUGGCGAAGGCGGUUCUCUGGGACGGUACUGACGCUGAGACGCGAAAGCGUGGGGAGCGAACAGG